rfam:Elusimicrobium minutum Pei191, complete genome.
UUUGCGGAGAGUUUGAUCCUGGCUCAGAGUUAACGCUGGCAUCGUGCAUAACACAUGCAAGUCGAACGGGAAUUUUUUGUGUAGCAAUACAUGAAAAAUUCUAGUGGCAGACGGGUGAGUAAUACAUAAGGAAUCUACCUUGAAGUGGGGAACAACUAGUCGAAAGAUUAGCUAAUACUCCAUAAUAUCACUUAGUGGCAUCACUUAGUGAUUAAAGAUUUAUCGCUUCAAGACGAUCUUAUGGUCUAUCAGCUAGUUGGUAGGGUAAUGGCCUACCAAGGCGACGACGGAUAGCCGGCCUGAAAGGGCGACCGGCCACAGGGGCACUGAGACACGGGCCCCACUCCUACGGGAGGCAGCAGUGGGGAAUUUUGGACAAUGGACGCAAGUCUGAUCCAGCAACGAUGCGUGGAGGAUGAAGGUUUUCGGAUUGUAAACUCCUUUUGCAGGGGAAGAAAAAAAUGACGGUACUCUGCGAAUAAGCCACGGCUAACUACGUGCCAGCAGCCGCGGUAAGACGUAGGUGGCAAGCGUUACUCGGAAUUACUAGGCGUAAAGCGCGCGUAGGCGGAUUGUUAAGUCUGUUGUGUAAUCUCUGGGCCCAACCCAGAAACUGCAAUUGAAACUGGCGAUCUUGAGUGAGGCAGAGGAAAUCGGAAUUCCAAGUGUAGCAGUGAAAUGCGUAGAUAUUUGGAGGAACACCGGUGGCGAAGGCGGAUUUCUGGGCCUUUACUGACGCUGAAGUGCGAAAGCUAGGGGAGCAAACGGGAUUAGAUACCCCGGUAGUCCUAGCCGUAAACGAUGAUAACUAGGUGUGGGAGGUAUCGACCCCUUCCGUGCCGACGCUAACGCAUUAAGUUAUCCGCCUGGGGAGUACGGCCGCAAGGUUAAAACUCAAAGGAAUUGACGGGGACCCGCACAAGAGGUGGAUUAUGUGGUUUAAUUCGACGCUACGCGAAAAACCUUACCUGGGCUCGAACGACUGGUAGUAACAUUUAUGAAAGUAGAUGUGAUUCGCAAGAAAGCCAGCCGAGGUGCUGCAUGGUUGUCGUCAGCUCGUGUCGUGAGAUGUUGGGUUAAGUCCCGCAACGAGCGCAACCCCUAUUCUGUGUUGCCUAGCAAUAGGAUCUCUCAGAAGACUGCCGCGGAUAACGUGGAGGAAGGUGGGGAUGACGUCAAAUCAUCAUGGCCUUUAUGUCCAGGGCUACACACGUAAUACAAUGGCAUAGACAGAGGGCAGCAAUAUCGCGAGAUGGAGCCAAUCCCUAAACUAUGCCCCAGUUCAGAUUGCAGGCUGCAAUUCGCCUGCAUGAAGCCGGAAUCUCUAGUAAUCGCAGAUCAGCACGCUGCGGUGAAUACGUUCCCGGGUCUUGUACACACCGCCCGUCACACCACGAAAGUUAAUUGCAACAGAAGUGCUCAGGUCGUCUGGGCCCUAAGUUGUGAUUAGUAAUUGGGGUGAAGUCGUAACAAGGUAGCCGUACCGGAAGGUGCGGCUGGAUCACCUCCUUU